AGCGAUUGUAGUAUAAUUAUUAUUUCUCGCUUACACCGAGAAGAUGCUUUUUCGCCAAUCGCUA
rnacentral:tRNA from 1 species